GAUGAACGCUGGCGGCGUGCCUAAUACAUGCAAGUAGAACGCUGAAGGAAGGAGCUUGCUCUUUCCGGAUGAGUUGCGAACGGGUGAGUAACGCGUAGGUAACCUGCCUGGUAGCGGGGGAUAACUAUUGGAAACGAUAGCUAAUACCGCAUAACAGUAGAUGUUGCAUGAUAUCUACUUAAAAGGUGCAAUUGCACCACUACCAGAUGGACCUGCGUUGUAUUAGCUAGUUGGUGAGGUAACGGCUCACCAAGGCGACGAUACAUAGCCGACCUGAGAGGGUGAUCGGCCAAACUGGGACGGAGACACGGCCCAGAAUCCUACGGGAGGCAGAAGGAGGGAAUCUUCGGGAAUGGAAGGAAGUCUGAACGAGCAACGCCGCGGGAGUGAAGAAGGGUGUCGGAUCGUAAAGCUCUGUUGUAAGAGAAGAACGAGUGUGAGAGUGGAAAGUUCACACUGUGACGGUAUCUGACCAGAAAGGGACGGCUAACUACGUG
rnacentral:rRNA from 1 species